rnacentral:lncRNA from 1 species
UCAAUUACAUGCUACUCCAAAUCCUAUUUCACAUCCAAAUUAAUGCUGUUCUUGAUAAUAAGGUAUCAUUGGCGGCAUUAAAAUUUUCCAAAAGACCAUCAUUAUUUGUAAUGAAAAUUGGACAGCAUAAAGGAAUAUAUAUGGACCACUGUUCUUGAUUAUCUUGAAGAGUAGUUUCCCAGCAAAAUGGCGCAUUAGGGUUUGUUCCUUCGGUUCAUGAAGAGCAUAGCACAAUUGGACAAACCUAUAGUUCUAUGGACAUUCCAUUAGGUGUUACAUUAUAUAUACUAGUUUGAUUCUUUCAUGCUAUGAUUGGGAUGAAGCAUUUUUCUCUCGUGGGUGUGUUGUUAACUUUAUUUUACCAUUAAAGAAAAACAAUUUAACAGUAGACUGAAAAGUUUAUACCUUAGUUCAGUAAAAUAAAUAUAGAAUUAUAUAUAAUAAUAAAUAAUAAUAAAUUUGUUGAUUCAAAAUUAAUGAUUAAGUAGGAAAUUAAAAUAAAUAUGUUAUUUUUCAGAAGAUAAUAAAGUAGAAUAUUUGUCUCGGUUUAAAAUUAUAUCCUCAAAGUUUUAAUUGGUUUGAAUCAAUAAAAUUAAAUUAUAUUUUAUCAAAUCUAGUAUCAACUCGAUAUCAAAAAUUAUUUUUAACAUUACGAGAGUCCCAUAUAAUAAAUACUAACCGAAAUAAAACAACAAACCUAAUUUUAAUUUACUUAAUAUAAAAUGAUUAAAUUAAAAAUUUAAAAAAAAACUUUAUGAUGAUUCGUGCCUUUUUUCUAUAUUGUAUUCCAUGUUUUUUUUUUUUAACAUUACCUUACGUGUUCAUGAUUCUAAAUAUCAUUUCAUAAUUUAUCGAGCAUUAAUUUUACAAAACUGAAUUAUAAUUUUUAAAUAAAAAACAAAAAAACCUAAUAAAAAAUUAAGAAAAAAAUAAUAUCAUUCUAAAUAUUAUUUUUUAAUAAUACAAUAAAUACAUGCAGAAAACAAAGUGCUUGCUUCAGCUAGGCCCAAAAGAACACGAAAUUCAUCUUGAUAAUAAUUUUGGAAAUAUUUCAUUAAGUCAAUGAAGUAAAACAUUAAUACUUCAGAUUUUCGGGGAAAAAACUGAAAUGAUUGGCUGAAGAACUUCAAAUUCAUCAAAUUCCUAUAAAUUAUUAAUUUUAAAUAACAUCCUCAUGAUAUUGCUGUUUUUUAAAAUAUUUUUUAUUUAGAAAUAUAUUAAAGUAAUAUUUAUUUAUUAUUUAAAAUUUAUUUUUAAUAUUACUAUCUAAAAAUACUAAAAAAAUAAUUUUAAAUAAAACAAUUUAAAUUUUCAAUAAACAAUAUUUUAAUUGCAAUUUAAAACAUAUUUUUAAUUUUGAUUGGCUGGGUGUCAUUUUUGAAUGGGUUGAUGUGUAAAGAAAGGUGCAGUCACAACUUCUAUUCAUGAUAACAUGAGAAUAUAUAAAGAUAAAGAUAUUUUAAUAAAAUAUUCUUGUUAGGUAAUAUUAAUUAGAUUAUAUUAAGUUUUUAUAUUUUUAUUAUAAUCUUGUAUCGAUUAUGGGUAACUAUUAAUUUAUAUUUAUUAUUGUAAUCUUGUAUUAUAAUUAAUCAUAGGUGAUCAUGGUUUUUAUGACUAAUUAUAUUUAUUUUCCUUGUAAUUGUGAUCAUUUUCAGUUCGGUUCGGUUUUUAUAAAAAAAAAAAAAGUAACCAAACCAAAAUUUAAAAAAAAAAAAACCAAAACCGAUUCAAACCGAUCAUUUUUUGUUUGGUUUGGUUCGGUUUUUUAGGAUAAAAACCGGUUCAAACCGGUUUGACUUGGUUUUUUCAGUUUGACUCAGUUUUGGCUCGGUUUUUCGAGUUUGGCUCGGUUUUUUUUUGUUUUUUCGGUUUGGGUUCGGUUUGGUUUUUUCGGUUUCAUGCUUAUAAAACCGAACCGGUUGGUUUUUUCAAAGUUUUAAUCGGUUUUUUUCACGGUUUGUUUUUUUCGGUUAUUUUUUUUCCGGUUUUUUCGGUUUAAUCGGUUUUUUGAUUUUUUUGCUCAUCCCUAAUAUAUAUAUAUAAGAGUCUUAUAUAGUUGUUUUGAUAUAAAAUGUAAAAAACUUUUUUCUUCAGUCUUGUAUUUUGUGAUGAUAUCUGAGCCCUAGAUGUUUUAAUUUCUUUUUCCUCAUUUCAGGUUUUAAUACUGUCAGUCCAUUGUUAUUGGUGUUUUCAAGCUUUAUUUUCGUAACAUGUUGAAUCGUUAGUUUUUUUCUUUUCUUUUCUUUUAGUUUAACGUUACACCUUGGUCUUACGUCCUUCGAUGUGAAAUGACAUCUCUAUCAAAGUUUCCACGUGUCGUCCCCAUACGCCUAAAGUUUCUACGAUGUAACAACUAACGGCUCACAUUAUAGUGAUACUACGAUAACUCAAGUAAAUAUGAGUUAAUUUAAUGGAUAGAAAUACAAAUUAGAGGGCACGACACAAUUUUUGAAAUGACAAGCAUCAAUUUAUAGGCCAAUAGAGAAAAAAAUCACUAGAGACCAAUGAUUAGGUGCCUCACGAAUAUGAAGAGGAAGAUACACCACUCUAACAUAAUUGUAAAUGAAGGAUUUUGGUAAUUAGAUGACCUUACACGUGUUUAUGCGCAUGUUGUACAUGUCAAUAAUAUUUUUUAAAUAAUAUUUAAUUUUUAAAAAUUACCAAAUAAUUAUUGAGUGAACUUUAAAAUAAAAAAACAUAAUGAAAAGACUAAAACACCCUUGAGAUCAACCUUAUUGUUUUUUCAUUUAAAGGGUAAUUCGGUCACUUUUCUAUUUAAACAAAGAUGAAUAAACCCCUUUUAUGCAAGUUUAAAGUGAUUUUGCUUUUAAUGGUAUAAGCGUAAUUUAACUGUGCGAAAUAUAUUUAAAAGAUAAAAAAAAACCCUUGACAAAUCAUAUCUUGGGACCUCACCUAACAGUUUAAACUGAGAACCUUAACUGGUCAACAGAGAUUCUAUGGUACGGGACUGGUUAUGCAAAAGAAAAGAUGUUAUCACCCCUGAAGCGUCCUACCUAAAGCAGGUUGUAUUGUUGGUUUUGUCUUAAAUUGCUAAAAGUUUGUUUUUUUCUUCUUUUUUUUUUCUUAUAAUGUUCCUGACUUUCGCAUUAGUGAACAUUUACUUACGAAUAUUUUUAACUCUGACGCUGGUAAAUAUUGUACAAACCCAAAAGACACGAUAUUCUUAACUCUAAUACUAGUGAAUAAGUUCGCAAAAUUUGGAUUUUUAAUUGAAGAAGAAACAAUUUUUUUUAUGCCUUUCUCUUUUUGUUUACCUUUUUUUUUAUUUACUCUUUUUAGACAAGAAAGCAAAAAUGCAUUGCAUAACAUAUUUGUAUUUAACAGUAAUAAUUCAUAGAUUGAACAUGCAACUUAGAAAAACAAUACGCAAAGAAAGAAAAAAAACAACACACAAGAAAACCAUAAAUAAAUCAACGAAGAUCACCAAAUAUUUUUAAUUUUUUUUUCAUUUCUAAAAAAGCUUGUUUGUCGAAAUAUCAAAACAAAAGUGAAAUAAAAUACAUGAGAAAGGCAUAAGGGUGUGUUUUGCUAAACACACCCUUAGCCAAAAGUAGCUGGAGAUGGUUGGGCCUGCGGCCAUACCCGGCCCACUCUUUUUUCAUUUAUUGGGCUCUGUCUGGCCCAGCUUUACAGGCUGGGCUAGACCCAGCAGGUUCAAACCCGGUUACUGGCCCAAGCCAGUAACCCGGUUUCCGUCCCUUUCUCUUUAUUUCUUUGUUUUUUUUUAACCUGCAGGCGUUCGUGAACUGUUCACGAACGCCUGCUACAGGAACAUGGUAAUUAAAAUGUAGGGAGGGGGGAAAACAAACUUACCUGGGCGAGCAGCUACUGGGAGCAAAGCGGAUGGCGAUGGAGACUGGCGGGUGGCGCCCCUGCGAUGACCCUCCUCUCCUUCUAUCUCGCUUCUCUAUCUGUUGUUCUUUUAUUUCUCUCUGUCUCUAUCACACUCUUUGGUUUUUCCUCUGUUUUCCUCCCUUUCUUCUCUUUUGUUUUCUCAUCUGUUCUCCCCUCUGCCGUCUGUUUGUUUUUUUUUUUCCCUCUCCUUGUGAACUCCCUCCCGUGCCCUUUAUAGGCAUUCCCUCUCGCUGCUUAUCCUUCCUUGAUAAGGAUAGAAUUUUAAGACCUUUUGUUUUGGCAGGAUUGGAACCCCCCACAGUCCCGCCAUUGCUGGACUGUCGGUGAU